rnacentral:lncRNA from 1 species
AUUACGGGGGUUGACAGUCAGCAUCUGUUCGGGUAUUACGAAUUGACUGGUUUCCUUCCUGUCAAUUGUUAGUUAUUUUGUCUACCUUCCAUUUCUCCUGAUACCCGGAGGGCUUUACACCUGUCCUAGCUGCUGGAAACACGGAGUGAACGACAACGAGCUCUGGGUUAAAUAGUCCCCUCCUACUAGAAGCAACAAAUGUGGGAGAGAAACCAGGUGAUCACAGGCGAAGACUGCGGAGGAAUCGUUUGUCAAACCGGAAGCAGAUCAGGACCUUAAUUGAGAGGAAGUAACCUUCCGAGGUAGAAAUAACCUUGGAGAGAAAGGCGGAGGUUCGCUCUAGAGAAAAAGACUCAAUGAGGAAGAGAGAGAGCAAAUUAGAAGCCAGAACGCAGAGAUGAAAUGGGAAGUUCGCUGCCAACAUCUCCAGUUAUUUUUGAAGCUCCUUCCUUUCUCCUGGGCUGCUCAUUGAUUCAUAUCUUCUGGGAGCGGGGCCCGAGGAAAACUGCAUCACAGAUGAAUAAAUUCAAUCAUGAUAAAUUACUUAACUUUCCUCCUGUCAACCCUGAAAAUUCCGCCGGUUGCUCGCAUGAAAUUUAGAGGGAAUAGGACUACAGCAGUUCCUUUUUAAAAUAUACGGAGUUCUCUUGCACACUCAAUAGAAAGAAGGUAAAUUCUCCUACUGUAUAAAUGAGGGGUCUAAGAUUUCACUUCAGCCUGGGUGGGUAGGUCCACUGCCGUUAUCCAGACGCGUUCAUAUGAUGCGUAGGUCCCAACUUGAAUCUCCAAGUUCAUCCCUAUCCAUCAGUGCUUCCUGCACAUAGCGUUCAGUUUCCUGGGGCUUAAAUGCC